rnacentral:rRNA from 1 species
CCCGCACAAGCAGCGGAGCGUGUGGUUUAAUUCGAUGCAACACGAAGAACCUCACCAAGACUUGACAUGUUGGUAGUAGAACCUCGAAAGGGGACGAUCUUGAGCAAUCAAGAAGCCAUCACAGGUGCUGCAUGGCUGUCGUCAGCUCGUGUCGUGAGAUGUUGGGUUAAGUCCCGCAACGAGCGCAACCCUUGUCAUUAGUUGCUACGAAAGGGCACUCUAAUGAGACUGCCGGUGACAAACCGGAGGAAGGUGGGGAUGACGUCAAGUCCUCAUGGCCUUUAUGACCAGGGCUACACACGUACUACAAUGGCCGGUACAAAGGGCAGCCACUUAGCGAUAAGGAGCCAAUCCCGUAAAGCCGGUCUCAGUCCGGAUUGGAGUCUGCAACUCGACUCCAUGAAGUUGGAAUCGCUAGUAAUCGCAGAUCAGCACGCUGCGGUGAAUACGUUCCCGGGCCUU